rnacentral:rRNA from 1 species
GGCGGCAUGCCUAACACAUGCAAGUCGGACGCUUCACCGGUUUCGGCCGGUGGGGAGUGGCGCACGGGUGAGUAGCGCGUGGGAACCUGCCCUGUUGUGGGGGAUAACCGAGGGAAACUUCGGCUAAUACCGCAUGCGCCCCCGGACUUGUUCCGGGGGGAAAGAUUUAUCGCAGCAGGAGGGGCCCGCGUCGGAUUAGGUUGUUGGCGGGGUAACGGCCCACCAAGCCUUUGAUCCGUAGCUGGUCUGAGAGGAUGAUCAGCCACACUGGGACUGAGACACGGCCCAGACUCCUACGGGAGGCAGCAGUGGGGAAUAUUGGACAAUGGGCGCAAGCCUGAUCCAGCAAUGCCGCGUGAGUGAUGAAGGCCUUCGGGUUGUAAAGCUCUUUCGCCCGCGACGAUGAUGACGGUAGCGGGAGAAGAAGCCCCGGCUAACUUCGUGCCAGCAGCCGCGGUAAUACGAAGGGGGCGAGCGUUGUUCGGAAUCACUGGGCGUAAAGGGCGCG